UGCGCUCCAUUUGUACUGGGAAGUGGGAAACCCCCACUUACAAGUCUUACAUUUAAGUGGGAAUUCCUUGUUGGAAAGUGGGAGAGUUCAGAAUUCAAGAUGGCAGCUGUUCAGCCCAACUCAGCAAUACAAUAAAAUGAUGUAAAGUGAUGAUGUAAGAUGAGGAUACCACAGUGGAAAUGGAUUAUUCCCAAAGAGGAAUGUUUCCCAUGAACAAGAUUAGGGGAUGCUUUCAUCAAGCAAGGAACAUCAGGGAAAAUGCAAAGAAGACAUGCUGCUUUGCUCCUCCCACCAAACAGUGUUACCGUCCGUCACACGAACGCUGCAGUCUGAGCAUAUUGUUGAAGAGAAUUCUUGUUUUUGUUGCUGCUCUCCAGUCUAUUCAUCUAAAUGCAAAUAUGGAAAGCAUCUGCUAAUUGAAUGAAUCACUGAAAAAUGCUGCAUAAAUGUUAGUUUCUGCUAAGCAAAAUGGAAACGUUCAUAAUAAACAUGUUGUGUAUCCAGAAUUUUAGUGUAUGUUUGCUCGGAUUACUAGAAGUCUAAAAUAUCUGAGAGAUUUUAUGUUUAAGCUUUUGCUAUUUAGUGAAAGAAUUAGAAUCUUUUAUUUUUUAUUAACUAUUUAAGCAGCUAAAUUCGGAAAUACCAAGGGGUGUUCUGAAACAUUCAGAUUUUUUUUUAUUUUGCAAGAAUCUACAUGCUCUAGUUACAUAAUGAGCACUUGCUUAUUUCAAAAUCUGUUUAUUUUUGUUCUCCAACUAUGUUCUGAAAAAUACAGUAUUAAUCAAUUAAAUCACACUUCAGUGGC